GGUCGUGUAGCUCAGUUGGUUAGAGCGUACGGUUCACAUCCGUGAGGCCCCUGGUUCGAAUCCAGGCACGACCA
rnacentral:tRNA from 1 species